UCCCUGGUGGUUCAGUGGUUAAGACUUUGCACCCCUAAUGCAGGGGGCUCAGGUUCAAUUCCUGGUCAGGGAA
rnacentral:tRNA from 2 species